GCGGCCGUCGAGGCGCAGUGGCAGCGCGACGUUCUCGUACACCGUGAGCAUCGGCAGGAGGUUGAACUGCUGGAAGACGAAGCCGAUGCGGCUGCG
rnacentral:tRNA from 1 species